CAGUCCUCCACGACAAGUCGAUGGUAGAGGAAAUGAAGUAUCAUCUCGUCUAAAGUUCAGUUGUUGAAGAACUUGUUUCUAAAUAGUAUGCUAGUAAAGCUGACUACGUAAACAUCAGUGUUCAAACGUACUAUCGAUUGAUAUAUCGGCUAAUGCAUAUAACUGGAAACUGUUUUGUAUAAAUUUUUUAACGAAAUAUUGUGUGCACUGUGUAAGUUUUAACUUCAGAGCAUUCUAAUAACGUGAUUCUAGCCGGAACACUGUGAGAUAUCGUCAUGAGAUAGCAUUCUCAGAUCUUUACAACUAGAUCUGCAACGAUCUGUGUAUAAAGAAUCUUAUACUAUCUAUUAAAGACGAUGAACUAAAAUUUGCGGAUUACGAGUUGCGCAAUUAAUCACACUGAUAAAUAAGGAGUGACAUUAUACAAGUAUGGCUACACACGCAUUUCGUGGUAUUCAGAGGCUGAGUCAAAUAUUCGAUGCAGGAAUAAGAACACUGAACCCCAUAUUAAGAUAUGCAUCAACUUCGUCGCAAACUAAGAUUAUAACGGGGCCAAAUAAUGAGAAGAUUAUUAUGCCCCCGGAUGGAGAGGCUUCUUACCCGGAAACCUUGGUCCACGAGUUCGUUUGGAACGAUAGCGAGAAUUACCCUAAUCAUAUUGCUUUGGAAUGUGGCAUAAGUGGCAAGAAGUACACGUUCGCGCAAGCCAAGGAUGCGACAAGUUAUAUCGGCAGAAGUUUACGGAACAUGGGUCUCAAAAAAGGUGAUGUGGUAGCACUAAUGGCACCCAAUUUUCCGGACACAGUUUUAAGUUUACUUGGGAUCAUGUCAGGCGGACUUAUUGUCACUACUAUAAAUCCGCAGUAUACGGCUGAGGAAAUGCAAAAACAGCUGUUGAAAAUUAAUGCAAAAGCAAUGAUUAUGUCGACCGAAAUUGCAUCCAGAGUGCGCGCUACAACAAGGGCAUGUCUUCCACGUGAAACUCCUUUUAUCGUGAUUGACGAUAAAACUGGUCCUAUGCCAGAGGGUUCAAUACCUUUUGAUGAUCUCAUAACGCGAGGCAAAUCAUUGUCACCUUUAAAUAUAAACACUAAUUGUGACGAUGUAGCGCUUUUACCAUUUUCAAGUGGCACUACUGGAUUACCAAAAGGUGUUAUGCUAACACAUCGCAACUUGGUAUCUAACAUGAUGAUGACUCAGACUACUUUAAAUCCAUUUCAGCCUACUACAAGCACAUAUCAGGAAGUAAUACUUGCCGUAUUACCUCUUUUCCAUAUUUAUGGGAUAAAUUGUACAGCAUUUCCACGUCUCGCUUUCGGUGGGAAAGUAGUCACCAUACCAAAAUUUCAACCAGAGACGUUCGUGAAAGUAUUAGAAAAAAACAAGAUAACUGUACUGUUUUGCGUACCACCCAUGGUACUUUUUCUAACAUCUUCGCCUCUUGUGAAGAAGCAUUAUUUCGAUCAUAUGCAUAUGAUGUUGAGUGGUGCCGCACCGCUCGCCAAAACGGACGCCGAUAGAUUCUACGAGAAACACAACGUUGACCCAAAAGUUUUAAAGUUUCGUCAAGGUUACGGAAUGACAGAAAGUUCGCCAACUGUGUGCAUAGAACUUGGACAGAAAUAUUCUAGUGUUGGGAAAAAUAUUGCUAGUUGCCAAAUACGCUUGGUGGACAUAAAGACACAGAAGGAUAUCACUACUCCAGGUCAAACUGGUGAAAUUUGGGUAAAAGGACCUCACAUUAUGAAAGGAUAUCUAAAUGACGAAGAAGCUACGAAGAAUACUAUAACUGAUGAUGGAUGGCUGAAAACGGGCGAUGUCGCAUAUUUCGAUGAAGAUUUUGAUUUCUAUAUUACAGACAGAUUAAAGGAACUCAUCAAAGUCAAAGGAUUUCAGACGUUUGAAGUGUUUACUUUCCAUAAUUUGAAACGUUACUUUUGCUUGAUCGAAGGUACCGCCGGCGGAAUUGGAAGCGGUACUGCGGACACAUCCAGACGUGGAGGAAGCAGCAGUGAUAGGUAUUCCGCACGAGAGAUAUGGUGAGGUACCGAAAGCAUUUGUAAUGGUAAGCAAGGGUAAGAAGCCUACGGAGGACGACAUUAAGAAUUUCGUAAAAGGAAAGGUCUCCGACUACAAGCAACUGAAAGGUGGAGUCACAUUCCUUGACGAUAUUCCGAAAAAUCCGAGUGGAAAAAUUCUAAGAUCAAAGUUAAAGCAAGUCUACAAAUCUUAACACCAUCAAUGUAAUAUCAUUUUAAUAAAUUUAUUUUAUUUAAUCGUU